rnacentral:rRNA from 1 species
CCUACGGGAGGCAGCAGUGAGGAAUAUUGGUCAAUGGACGAGAGUCUGAACCAGCCAAGUAGCGUGAAGGAUGACUGCCCUACGGGUUGUAAACUUCUUUUAUAUGGGAAUAAAAUGUUCCACGUGUGGGUUUUUGUAUGUACCAUAUGAAUAAGGAUCGGCUAACUCCGUGCCAGCAGCCGCGGUAAUACGGAGGAUCCGCGCGUUAUCCGGAUUUAUUGGGUUUAAAGGGAGCGUAGAUGGAUUGUUAAGUCAGUUGUGAAAGUUUGCGGCUCAACCGUAAAAUUGCAAUUGAGACUGGCAGCCUUGAGUACAGUUGAGGUAGGCGGAAUUCGUGGUGUAGCGGUGAAAUGCUUAGAUAUCACGAAGAACUCCGAGUGCGAAGGCAGCUCACUAAACUGCAACUGACACUGAGGCUCGAAAGUGUGGGUAUCAAACAGGAUUAGAUACCCGGGUAGUC